rnacentral:rRNA from 1 species
CCUACGGGAGGCAGCAGUGGGGAAUAUUGCACAAUGGGGGAAACCCUGAUGCAGCGACGCCGCGUGAGUGAAGAAGUAUUUCGGUAUGUAAAGCUCUAUCAGCAGGGAAGAAAACGACGGUACCUGAUUCAGAAGCCCCGGCUAACUACGUGCCAGCAGCCGCGGUAAUACGUAGGGGGCAAGCGUUAUCCGGAUUUACUGGGUGUAAAGGGAGCGUAGACGGCAGCACAAGUCUGGCGUGAAAUGCCGGGGCUUAACCCCGGAACUGCUUUGGAAACUGUGCAGCUAGAGUGCAGGAGAGGUAAGUAGAAUUCCUGGUGUAGCGGUGAAAUGCGUAGAGAUUAGGAGGAACACCAGUGGCGAAGGCGGCUUACUGGACUGUAACUGACGUUGAGGCUCGAAAGCGUGGGGAGCAAACAGGAUUAGAUACCCCUGUAGUC